rnacentral:rRNA from 1 species
UACAGAGACUGCAAGCGUUAUUCGGAUUCACUGGGCGUAAAGGGUGCGCAGGCGGCCAAGUGUGUGAGGCGUGAAAGCCCGGGGCUUAACCCCGGAAUUGCACCUCAUACUACAUGGCUAGAGCAUUGGGGAGGGUAGCAGAAUUCAUGGUGUAGCAGUGAAAUGCGUAGAUAUCAUGAGGAAUACCAGAGGCGAAGGCGGCUACCUGGACAAUUGCUGACGCUCAGGCACGAAAGCGUGGGGAGCAAACAGG